GAUGAACGCUGGCGGCGUGCCUAAUACAUGCAAGUCGAACGCUGAAGGAGGAGCUUGCUCUUCUGGAUGAGUUGCGAACGGGUGAGUAACGCGUAGGUAACCUGCCUGGUAGCGGGGGAUAACUAUUGGAAACGAUAGCUAAUACCGCAUGACAACAGUUAUUGCAUGAUAACUGUUUAAAAGGGGCAACUGCUCCACUACCAGAUGGACCUGCGUUGUAUUAGCUAGUUGGUGAGGUAACGGCUCACCAAGGCGACGAUACAUAGCCGACCUGAGAGGGUGAUCGGCCACACUGGGACUGAGACACGGCCCAGACUCCUACGGGAGGCAGCAGUAGGGAAUCUUCGGCAAUGGACGGAAGUCUGACCGAGCAACGCCGCGGGAGUGAAGAAGGGUUUCGGAUCGUAAAGCUCUGUUGUAAGAGAAGAACGAGUGUGAGAGUGGAAAGUUCACACUGUGACGGUAUCUUACCAGAAAGAGACGGCUAACUACGUG
rnacentral:rRNA from 1 species